rnacentral:rRNA from 1 species
GACGAACGCUGGCGGCGUGCUUAACACAUGCAAGUCGAACGAGGUCCAACCGGUGGCAACACCGGAGACGACCUAGUGGCGAACGGGUGAGUAACACGUGAGGAACCUGCCCCGAAGUCUGGGAUAACCCCCCGAAAGGGGAGCUAAUACCGGAUGCCCCCACCUGAUCGCAUGUUCAGGUGAGGAAAGGAUUCUGCUUCGGGAGGGUCUCGCGGCCUAUCAGCUUGUUGGUGAGGUAACGGCUUACCAAGGCGACGACGGGUAGCUGGUCUGAGAGGACGAUCAGCCACACUGGGACUGAGACACGGCCCAGACUCCUACGGGAGGCAGCAGAGGGGAAUCUUGCGCAAUGGGCGAAAGCCUGACGCAGCAACGCCGCGUGCGGGAUGACGGCCUUCGGGUUGUAAACCGCUUUCAGUGGGGACGAAAACAGACGGUACCCACAGAAGAAGCCCCGGCCAACUACGUGC